ensembl:lncRNA
GAGGGGGGCUGGUGAGAUCAACACAAUGGGGGCUGGUGAGAUCAACACAAUGGGGACUGGUGAGAUCAACACAAUGGCGGCUGGUGAGAUCAACACAAUGGGGGCUGGUGAGAUCAACAUAAUGGGGGCUGGUGAGAUCAACACAAUGGGGACUGGUGAGAUCAACACAAUGGGGGCUGGUGAGAUCAACACAAUGGGGACUGGAGAGAUCAACACAAUGGGGACUGGAGAGAUCAACACAAUGGGGACUGGAGAGAUCAACACAAUGGGGACUGGAGAGAUCAACACAAUGGGGACUGAAGAGAUCAACACAAUGGGGACUGGAGAGAUCAACACAAUGGGGACUGGAGAGAUCAACACAAUGGGGACUGGAGAGAUCAACACAAUGGGGGCUGGUGAGAUUGCUGGUAAAUUUCUUCAACAAAUGAUCAGGUCUAUGACAUUAUUAACCAUACAUUAGUAAUGGGAAGGAAACACUCUUUGUUUACGUAUUAAAAUACUCCUUUAGUAAUACAAUGGUAGGCAGAAGUUGGUACAGAGUACAGUAUAACAGUAUAUGAUAGCUCUCCCCAGGUUCUGCAAAAUGUCUAAGGCAUCCUGUAACUCAUAUAGCCUCCCCAAUCCCUCUUGCGUGACUUUCCCUGGCAACAACAUUUUAAUAGAUCUAACCUCCCCUGACAGCAGCAACCAUCUUAUCAGCAAUUAAAAGCUCAGAAGUGGGUUUGACAGAAGCUUGACCUUUCAUCAGUAUAGAGUCAUAACAAGGUGAACGAGUCUAAGCAUCUUCUGACAGGUGGCUGGUUUCAUCAGGUCUGUGGCAGCCUUGUGUUCUCAGAGAACCAGACAACCACGGUGGGAUCCAGACAGGAGGAGUCUGAAUGUAGACGCCUUCUGAUAGUGCCUGAAGGGCAAAACACUCAAAAACAGGUUUUAACACACACACACAGAGGUUUUAUAAGAAACAUCCAUAAAAGGUGCGUUAGAUUUCAAACAAUCCUCAGGAGAUUGAGGAUAGAAAUAAGGGCCUGGGGGGGGAGGAACAUGAAGCCAGGGGGAUGAGGAACAUGAAGCCAGGGGGAUGAGGAACAUGAAGCCAGGGGGAUGAGGAACAUGAAGCCAGGGG